UACGAAGGGGGCUAGCGUUGUUCGGAAUUACUGGGCGUAAAGCGCGCGCAGGCGGUCUUCCAAGUCAGUGGUGAAAGCCUGGAGCUCAACUCCAGAACUGCCAUUGAAACUGUUAGACUUGAGUACGAGAGAGGUGAGUGGAAUUCCCAGUGUAGGAGGUGAAAUUCGUAGAUAUUGGGAAGAACACCGGAGGCGAAGGCGGCUUGCUGGGCGUGAUCUGACGCUGAGGCGCGAAAGCGUGGGGAGCGAACAGG
rnacentral:rRNA from 1 species